AACGAACGCUGGCGGCAUGCCUAACACAUGCAAGUCGAACGAGACCUUCGGGUCUAGUGGCGCACGGGUGCGUAACGCGUGGGAACCUGCCCUUAGGUUCGGAAUAACUCCCCGAAAGGGGUGCUAAUACCGGAUAAUGUCUUCGGACCAAAGAUUUAUCGCCUUUGGAUGGGCCCGCGUUGGAUUAGCUAGUUGGUAGGGUAAAAGCCUACCAAGGCGACGAUCCAUAGCUGGUCUGAGAGGAUGAUCAGCCACACUGGGACUGAGACACGGCCCAGACUCCUACGGGAGGCAGCAGUAGGGAAUAUUAGACAAUGGGCGAAAGCCUGAUCCAGCAAUGCCGCGUGAGUGAUGAAGGCCUUAGGGUUGUAAAGCUCUUUUACCCGGGAUGAUAAUGACAGCACCGGGAGAAUAAGCUCCGGCUAACUCCGUG
rnacentral:rRNA from 1 species